GGAUGGGUGCCCGAGUGGUUUAAGGGACCGGUCUUGAAAACCGGCGUGCGGAAACGUACCGUGGGUUCGAAUCCCUCCCCAUCCG
rnacentral:tRNA from 1 species